rnacentral:sRNA from 1 species
GUCGUGAGAUGUUGGGUUAAGUCCCGCAACGAGCGCAACCCUUGUCGUUAGUUGCCAGCGGUUCGGCCGGGCACUCUAACGAGACUGCCGGUGUUAAACCGGAGGAAGGUGGGGAUGACGUCAAGUCCUCAUGGCCCUUAUGCCCAGGGCUACACACGUGCUACAAUGGCCGGUACAAAGGGUUGCUAACCCGCGAGGGUACGCUAAUCCCAAAAAACCGGCCUCAGUUCAGAUUGAAGUCUGCAACUCGACUUCAUGAAGUCGGAAUCGCUAGUAAUCCCUGAUCAGCAGGCAGGGGUGAAUACGUUCCCGGGCCUUGUACACACCGCCCGUCACACCAUGGGAGUCAGUUGCUCCAGAAAUGGCUGCGCUAACCCGCAAGGGAGGCAGGUCCUUAAGGAGUGACUGGUAACUGGGGUGAAGUCGUAACAAGGUAGCCGUAUCGGAAGGUGCGGCUGGAUCACCUCCUUUCUGGAGAUUCGGCAGUCUCUUUGGAGGCUGUCCAUUUCUCGGUCAAUGUCACAGUUGUUGUUUGCGCGAACCGUCGGAGGUCGCGCAUGAACUUUGGUUUGCUGUUCGGCUUUGAGGGCCCGACGCACUUCUUGAAUUCUCUGGAGGUGCGACUGAAACUCAAACACGAAACGGGCCAGUAGCUCAGUUGGUUAGAGCACACGCUUGAUAAGCGUGGGGUCGAAAGUUCAAAUCUUUCCUGGCCCACUCUAGCUGGCUAACCGCUGGGGGCGUUAGCUCAGCUGGGAGAGCACCGGCUUUGCAAGCCGGGGGUCAAGGGUUCGAUCCCCUUACGCUCCACCCGACCCGACUCUUGACGAAGGCUGUGAAUCUCUUUAAGAUUCACGCCCUUCGCCGCGAGUUGAAACGACCCGCGGAGCACGUUCUCUGAAAAUCCAAUAGUAACGACGACGCGAAAGCGUGUCUUGAGUAUUGAAUCGUUCCGAGUCGCAAGCUCGGACGGUUUAGCAAUCAAGCGUCAAAGGACUAUGAGUGAUUGCAUCAAUGAAUCACUCGACCUUGUAGACGGCGUAUCGCGACAGAGAAAGUAGCGAUGCAACAAUUUUCGGCUAGACGGGCAGUUUGCCGUUUGGCCAACAAGUUGGUGAUCAAGCUACUAAGGGCGCACGGUGAAUGCCUUGGCGUCAGGAGGCGAUGAAGGACGUGGUUAGCUGCGAAAAGCUUCGGGGAGUCGCAAGCAGGCGUCGAUCCGGAGAUGU